rnacentral:lncRNA from 1 species
GUCUGUUACAUUUAUUGGUUUGUGAGUGUUUUCUGAAAAACUGCAGUGUCUGUGAAGACCAAUUUCCAUGCUGGCAUGCAUCCAAAUAUUAAUGCACAGAGGCACAGAAUUAGAGCAACGAGAGCAUAGUCAAACACUAGCACGCCCCAUCCCCCCUUUAUUGCUUGUUUUGCUUAGUACUUCUUAGAACAAAAAUAAGAAACUCGAAUUCAACGUUCAACUGCCAAAGAAACAAUAACAACAGGGCACAUACUCAGGGCUUGAAUGAAAUUGUAAACACUAGCUGGCGCAAAACAGUAGACAUUGAAAAGCUUUUCUGUACUAAGCAACUGUGCUGCAAGUCUACUGCAGUUAAGUAUCUGAGAUGAUUUCCAUCUAGACUAUCCUUGGUUUUCACCCAGUAAAAUGCAGAGGGUACAAACAGGAAAGCAUGCCAGCCAGUUAAGGGUUCAACAAUGCAUGAUU